rnacentral:rRNA from 1 species
CGCCUUGCCAGCCCGCUCAGAACUUAAAGGAAUUGACGGGGCCGCACAAGCGGUGGAGUAUGUGGUUAAUUCGAUGCAACGCGAAGAACCUUACCUGGUCUUGACAUCCCGGAGACCCUUAGGAAACUAGGGGGUGCUUCCAUCUGGAAGAAUCUGGAGACAGGUGCUGCAUGGCUGUCGUCAGCUCGUGUCGUGAGAUGUUGGGUUAAGUCCCGCAACGAGCGCAACCCUUGCCUUUAGUUGCCAGCAGUUCGGCUGGGCACUCUAAAGGGACUGCCGGUGUUAAACCGGAGGAAGGUGGGGAUGACGUCAAGUCCUCAUGGCCUUUAUGACCAGGGCUACACACGUACUACAAUGGCCGAUACAAAGGGCAGCGACACUGCGAGGUGAAGCCAAUCCCGUAAAAUCGGUCUCAGUCCGGAUUGGAGUCUGCAACUCGACUCCAUGAAGUUGGAAUCGCUAGUAAUCGUGGAUCAGCAUGCCACGGUGAAUACGUUCCCGGGCCUU